rnacentral:rRNA from 1 species
UAGGGAAUCUUCCACAAUGGGCGAAAGCCUGAUGGAGCAACACCGCGUGAGUGAAGAAGGGUUUCGGCUCGUAAAGCUCUGUUGUUAAAGAAGAACACGUAUGAGAGUAACUGUUCAUACGUUGACGGUAUUUAACCAGAAAGUCACGGCUAACUACGUGCAG